UACGUAGGGUGCAAGCGUUGUCCGGAAUUAUUGGGCGUAAAGAGCUCGUAGGCGGUUUGCCGCGUCGAAUGUGAAAACCCGGGGCUCAACCCCGGGCCUGCAUUCGAUACGGGCAGACUAGAGUUCGGUAGGGGAGUCUGGAAUUCCUGGUGUAGCGGUGAAAUGCGCAGAUAUCAGGAGGAACACCGGUGGCGAAGGCGGGACUCUGGGCCGAUACUGACGCUGAGGAGCGAAAGCGUGGGGAGCGAACAGGAUAGAUACC
rnacentral:rRNA from 1 species